CAUAUCAUAGACACCACUGGACAGGCAUUAGAACUUGGUGCCCAGGUCUGACCGACCUGGCAGAGCCAUCCUACCAUCUGAAGUAAUGCAUACUUCUGUACCGAGUUUUUAAUAGCUUGGUCUGCAUAACCUUUGGCUUUUCUUCAUUGAGCUUGUAUUUUGGCAAGAAGUGGGUCUCAUCAAGCAUUUGGGUCUGAGGGAUCUCCAUUAGAUUUUUGGUGCUGGUCUCCAUUAGAUUUUGUGACCAUCGAGUCAUAUUCAGCAUCUGUCUGCACUCAGGUCUCCUGUAACUCCUAUGCAGUUGUGGCCUAAGACUCUUUAGCACAGUGUUAUCUAAUAAUAGCAUUCUGUAUGUGAGUAGCUUCUGGCAGCCCAGUUUUGUGUCCCAUUUACGUUGGCACUCUCGUUUGAGAAUGCUGUCUACCAAGGGGUUCUCCUUACUGCAUUUCAUGGAGUCAUUUAGGAGUUAGUUAUCCAUAAAGGAAAAGUCUGUCAUUAUGCCAGCCACAGACGCUAGCUACACAUACCUGUUUUGGCAUUUGCAGGCCUGAGUGUUUCAGCUCUGUCUGUCUACCCCCAAGUUUGAGUCAUCUGGCGGUAACUGUCAUUUUUAUGUGUUGAUGAGUGGUUUGACUUAUUCAUGCAGUUUAAGUAUAGGUCUGGGCUAAGCAGGACAGAUGAGCAAGGCGUGACAGUGAAGGCAAGCAGAUGGCACCACAGGGCAUGAGGUCAAUAGUUUGGAUUUUGUGCAUUUGGGGUCUCUCUGUAUUGCCUGAGUGUAUAAGUCAGUCAGUGGGAUUUAUUAGUCUGUUUUGCACGGCAGGCGCUCUCUGUCAGAAAGCAGAAUGUAACAUCUGUGUACCUCUGCAUUUUCCUGAGGUAAGCCUGGCAUUGAAGGUUCCGGAUGGACUUCGGGGACACUGGAGAUGCACUGACUAUGCAAGCAGAUGCAGAGCAGGGAGUUGGACAGUGAAGGCAGAUGGCAAGCGGAGUGCCGUAAGAAGGUGCCACAGGCGAUGCCAGCCACAUCAUCUGGUGUUAGACUGGGAGUGGAGCAGAAUGCCAUGGCACUUCCAAAGAGGCCAUCAUUGCAGAAGAGGUCAGUGUUGACUGGUGUGAAACUGACUGAUGGCACUCCACUUGCAGAUGAAGAAGAGGAACUGGGUGAUCGCAGCAACAUCCUAGUUAGCCUAGCCAAUCUUCAUUGAGGAUGGAUUCUGACCCCCAGCCCUCUCAAAGCUAAGCUGAGGGGCCCAUGCUAUCUUUGUGUGGGGUGGCAGAGAGGGGUUUUAAAUUCAGCGUGGCAGAGAGGGCGGUUCUGAAUAGGACACGUUUGGGCAGAGAGAGGGUCCGGAUUCCUUUGUGCAAAAUGCAAGCGUCUGCUGGGCAGGGCAGUUCCAGCCCAUCUAUGUGGUGUUGUGUAGUUUGUGUAGUCUGUUUUAUGUGUCCUAUGCGAUACCUUAAUCAGGUCUUGAUGUUCCCAUUGAUCUUUGUGCCUGGCAGGCACAUCAGCAGCCAUACAGAGGGUCUUGCAUGCCUUGACUCAUCAGCAUAAUGCUAACGGAGCUCUUCCUUUUUUGCGUUAGAAGUUUAAUGCAUGUAUCUGUCUUGUGUGUCUUGCCUGCCAGAAGUUUACAGAUGGUCAUUUUUUUUGCAGUGGUGUUCCAGGCAGUGUCAGCAUCUCCACUCUCGAGCCAUCCAUUUUCAGGGAGGCCUUUUCUGGGACUUCUUCCCUGUGUCCUUAUGUUCUUAGGUCUUAGAGAUGGGCUUCUGGUGCAUCCAUUGUCCCAGCUGGGGCCAUAUCUUUUUGUCACAGGCCAUGGCAUUUGAAUUUUCCAAGGCUGCUGUGGAUUCUUCCUCAUGGCCCUGUAAGUCUUCUUGCCCGACGGCAUCUCUGGUCUGGGAGUCAUUCUUCUGGCCAAGAAUUUUCUCACAUCUUUGGGUUAUGUUGUUUGUAUUGUUUGUGCAGUGUUGGUCUGUGGAUGUGUGUGUCAGGUUUGGAGCUGCUCUGCCCGGGGGCAUAGCAAUGGUAGAGUCAGGCGAAGAAUAGCAAUAAGAGUCUAUGGUUAUGUUGAUAUGCCUAGACUUUGUAGGCAAAGGCUGUACAGUCCAUCUCGGAGCAAGUAGGUAUCUGCAGCUGGUGAGGAAGCAGAGGGGAUGACCGGAGCCUGCCUCCCCACCUCCCUGCCUCCCCCCAUCCUGUGUCUGCCUCCCUGCCUUGUCCCCCCUCCCCUGGGUCCGUAUCUGUCUCUUUUCCCUGCGUGCGCAUCUGUGUCCCAUCCCCCCCCCGCGCAACAUGCCCCCCACAAUCCCUGCCCUCCUAUCUUGUGUCCC